rfam:Oryza punctata chromosome 5, whole genome shotgun sequence.
UUUAAGUAACUAUAAGUGUUUUUUUCCAACUUGAAUCGUCUGUCCUAUUUAAAAUUUUUUUAUGAUUAGUAUUUUUAUUGCUAUUAAAUGAUAAAAUACAGAUAGUAUUUUAUACAUGACUUAUAUUUUUUUAAUUUUUUUAUUUUUUUAAUAAGACAGAUGAUUAAAGUUAGAUACGGAAACUCAUGCUUAGAAUGAGA